rnacentral:tRNA from 1 species
GUUUAACCCCUUCCCUUACUA